rnacentral:rRNA from 1 species
CCUACGGGGAGCAGCAGUGAGGAAUAUUGGUCAAUGGACGCAAGUCUGAACCAGCCAUGCCGCGUGCAGGAAGACGGCUCUAUGAGUUGUAAACUGCUUUUGUACGAGGGUAAACGCAGAUACGCGUAUCUGUCUGAAAGUAUCGUACGAAUAAGGAUCGGCUAACUCCGUGCCAGCAGCCGCGGUAAUACGGAGGAUUCAAGCGUUAUCCGGAUUUAUUGGGUUUAAAGGGUGCGUAGGCGGUCGGAUAAGUUAGAGGUGAAAUCCCGAGGCUCAACUUCGGAAUUGCCUCUGAUACUGUUCGGCUAGAGAGUAGUUGCGGUAGGCGGAAUGUAUGGUGUAGCGGUGAAAUGCUUAGAGAUCAUACAGAACACCGAUUGCGAAGGCAGCUUACCAAGCUACUUCUGACGUUGAGGCACGAAAGCGUGGGUAGCAAACAGGAUUAGAUACCCUAGUAGUC